UACGGAGGGAGCGAGCGUUGUCCGAAGUUACUGGGCGUAAAGCGCGCGUAGGCGGGAAAUUAAGUGAGAAGUGAAAGGCUGGGGCUCAACCCCAUGCAGUGCUCCUCAUACUGGUUUUCUUGAGGGUGGUAGAGAGAAGUGGAAUGGCUGGGGUAGCGGUGAAAUGCGUAGAUAUCAGUCGGAACACCAGUGGCGAAGGCGGCUUCUUGGGCCAGUACUGACGCUGAGGCGCGAAAGCCAGGGGAGCGAACGGG
rnacentral:rRNA from 1 species